GUGCUCGUUCUGGCAGCUCAUGUACUAAAACCGGAAUGAUACAGAGAAGAUUAGUAUGGCCCCUGUGCAAGGACAACACGCAAAUUCGUGAAGCAUUCCAUAUUGUU
ensembl:snRNA U6 U6 spliceosomal RNA